UGGGGAAUAUUGCACAAUGGGGGAAACCCUGAUGCAGCGACGCCGCGAGAGCGAAGAAGGUUUUCGAAUCGUAAAGCUCUGUCCUAUGGGAAGAUAAUGACGGUACCAUAGGAGGAAGCCCCGGCUAACUACGUGCCAGCAGCCGCGGUAAUACGUAGGGGGCAAGCGUUGUCCGGAAUCACUGGGCGUAAAGGGUUCGCAGGCGGAAAUGCAAGUCAGUUGUGAAAGGCAGAGGCUCAACCUCUGUAAGCAAUUGAAACUGUAUUUCUUGAGAUGUGGAGAGGCAAGUGGAAUUCCUAGUGUAGCGGUGAAAUGCGUAGAUAUUAGGAAGAAUACCGGUGGCGAAGGCGACUUGCUGGACACAAACUGACGCUGAGGAACGAAAGCGUGGGUAGCAAACAGG
rnacentral:rRNA from 1 species